GUAACGAGGGGAUAGGUUUGAAGAUGGCUUUCUUCAGAAGAUCUGGUACACGCUGGCCUUCAACCCAGAUCCUUUCGAUCUCUGACUUCUCAAGUUGUCUUCGAACCCCAGGAAACCCUGGCACAUGGCAAGCAUUCAAUGUCAGAGCUGGGGUCUACUCCAGGAUCAUCGACUGCAAAGCCUCCAGAGACAUAAGCUCCAACUAGGCAGUUUAGGGGCUGAUGACCUGGUUCCUAAGGUGAUUAAAGUGUUCCAGCCAAAGACAUGCUUGCAAAGGUCUUUUCUUACAAACACAAAAUGCUGUUAGAUGCAUCCAAUGGAAAUGAUGGAGACGAAUGCAUCACUCUCCAGAGGCCAUGACAUCUAGCAAACGAGCCACAGGCACUAACUACUGAAACCCCCGUUCCGCAUGGCUCCGCUCAUAUUUCAUGUGCACUGCUGUGUCCAUAGAAGACACCACCUCGGGAAAUUGCCAUCUCUUUGGAUUUCUUCAUGACGAGCAAACGUUCACGGUCUUGGCAUUUCCAUUUGCGUGCUUCAAUCUCUGCACCCUUGUUUACGCCGUGGAAGGCAUUCAAUUAGUAUUUACUCAAUAAAUGAGUGAGGAUGUAUCUUAUAUCUUCCCACACAUCUAUACUGAGUGUUUAAUUGCCUGUCUUCCACUAUGCAGCAGCUGAAAAAGCCUUAUAAAUGCUUCUUUAGGAGAAUAAAGGCCUUGCUUUUCCAAUGCA